ACCUAUAAGAGCAUUGAUUCAUCGGUGAUAAGAGUUCGCAAUAGAGCGUAUUUUUGGUCAGUUCCGUACGAUCUGAUACUAACAUACAUUUUCACCUCUUGCUAUGCAUAUGCACAUUUUUCCCGUCAAAAACAUCGUAGGAAGAACUGUGCAUAUAGUUCGAUCAUUUGAUCACUAGAGGACUGCUUCUCCAAAGCGAGUAUGUUCAUUUACCGUAAAUAUGUCUCACUCUCGCUCCCAAUGCAAACUGAGCUGAACGUACUGAAAAAAGCAAUUCCUGGGAUACACCUUUCUAGAUAAUAUUCACCACGUGAACCCAACCAACGUACAUUAAGCGGGUAGUAGUGUAUAUGAACAUUUAUAUGUAUAUUACUUUAUGACAUUAAUUUUAUAAGAAAAUCUCAUACGUUUCAUUCAUCUGUAAUCAAAGUAAAUACUCAAAUUUUGGUAUUCUGCUUUUCUUAAGGUUAAAAAAAUGCAUAAACAUGUUUACUAUAUUCGAGUCUAUGAUCCAAAUAAAAUUGAAUAUAUAUACUUUCAA